rnacentral:lncRNA from 1 species
UGCGCCAGGAGCGCGACAGAAAAUUCCGGGAGGAAGAAGUGCUCCGCCAGGAACGGGAGGAGGAGCAGCUGCGCCAGGAGCGCGACCGUCAGUAUCGGGCGGAGGAACAGUUUGCCAGGGAGAAGCGUCGUCAGGUGCCAGAAUUGGGGCAACAAGAGCAGAGACGUCGCCAGGAGCGGGAGAGGAAAUUCCGAGAAGAGCAGCUCCGCCGCCAGCAGGAGGAGGAGGAGAGACGCGCCCAGGAGCCAGCCUCGCGCCCGUCGGUCGGCGCUCCCGUGCGCUCCAGCCCCCUCUACGAGUACAUCCAGGAGCAGAGAGCUCAGUACCGCGCCUGAGCGAGGCCGCCGGCAUCCCUGCCAAAGCUUCCAGCCAAAGAGAAUGAGAAACACUGGGUACCAAGGAAUGGCUCACGUGUUUACGGUUGUGGGAAAACUCUCUGAUGUUCGAAUGCGCCUUUUCUUCCAAACUCUCGAGCUAUGCUCAUUUCAUUACUUUGUACUCCUACCUUUAAUUCUGUCUCAGGUAGUUCUUUACUGCAAGAUGUCUUUGUUCUUUGGUGCAGGUAUGGUGUACAUUUUUAAAAACAUGUCAUUUAAAUUGUUCACAGAGUUUUGUUUGAAGAACACAUUGAUUUGUUGCCUUUUAAAGUAACAAUACAACAAGUUGAGACUCAAAAUAAUUGAGUAUAGUUUUAAUGGCUCAUUACCUCUGAGUGGUUUACAUGUUUUUAAGGUUGAUAUAUUUUUUCUUGUGCCUAAAUUUCAUUGAUCUACUGCCAAAUAACUCACUGGGUUUUGAUUUUGAUUUUGGCAUAAUUAACACAUGUUCCACAAGUUGCCUGAAUUUUUGCAACCCUCAAAUAAAUCAGGGAGAGGAACUUUUGGCAGAAAAACUCCCUGUGGAAUCAGCACCUAUAACUAAAAGAAAUAUCUGUUAAGAAUUUAAGUGUAGAAUUUGGAAUUAGAUUUUUAAAAAAUAUAUAUACUUAAUGCCACUCAAAACCCCAGGAAGCAAAAGCAAUGUGUUUAUCAACUUCAUAGCUCUAAUUUUGAAGCUAUAUCUGCUGUAGUUUGUAGUGCUCAGUUCUGUUCCCCCAAUGAUGAAUUUGAGAGUAUUGCUACUUUUGUUAAUGUUAGCUUAGAGGAAACCUACUCAGGACCCUGUAAGUUUGUCUUGCUCUAGGGCCAAUAGGUGACAGAGAGCAUGUUGGGAAAGGAAAGAGGGAAGUGUGUGAAUAGAGAGGCAAAUUUCUAGAGGCCCUUUGAGAAGACUUAUCCCCAAUCCUUUGAGGCCUGAUACUUACUACCUUGGAGACAUUCUGUUGAAAUAAUUGGACUGUAUAAAAAUUUAAUAAAUGUUUGGCAAAUA